rnacentral:lncRNA from 1 species
CACAUAUGAAAAGAUUGGAAUAAACUCAUAAUGUAUGAAUAAUGAUGUGGAAUAUAAAAUUUGUAUACCGAUGUGGAUUGUAUGAUCAAGUAUGAGGAUUCAAAAUACAAUCCCAAGUACUGAUAUUAUUCGUGACUGAGUUGAGGAGUGGUGGAUGUGCAUCAAUUUGUUUUUGUCUUUUUGAUCAUCGUUGAAAAUUGGCGUAAAAUUGAUGUUGAUGCUGAUGUUUCUGUAAAAUCGUUGCAUGAUUUGAGAAAUCGUGGCACAAUUUUUUGUUCAAAAUUUGGAGGAAGUUGCUGGAAAUAUCGUGGUACAAUUCUGAAAAUCGUUGCACAAAUUUGGAUAAG